CGCCUGUGGCUCAAAGGAGUAGGUUGCCGGCCCCAUAGGCCGGAGGUGACGGGUUCAAACCCAGCCCCGGCCAAAAACUGCAAAAAAAAAAAAAAAUCUUCAAAGUAUGUAAGACACUUAAAUUUGGCUGCUGUAAGCCAUUAAGGGUGAGUGGGUGGACAUUUAACUAUGAAUUUUUUUUUUAGAGACAGUCUCUCACUUUGCCACCCGUGGUAGAGUGCUGUGCCGUCAUGGCUCACAGCAACUUCAAACUCCUGGGCUCAAGCGAACCUCUUGCCUCAGUUUUUCUAUUUUUAACAGAGACGGGGGUCUCGCUUUUACUCAGGCUGGUCUCAGACUCAUGAGCUCAAGCAAUCCACCCGCUCGGCCUCCUGGAGUGCGAGGAUAACAGGCGUGGGCCCCCGCGCCUGGCCUAACUAGGAACUUCUUGAAGACAUCCCUGGGUUGUCAGAUUUACAAGGUGACAAGAUGACUUCCCCACCUCCUCUUUCCUUCCCUGAUAACCUACGUAGGUGGUGAGCCCCUCAAUCUCUUGCACAUCCUUAGCAUUUGCUUGUAGAAGACGAAAACUGAUACAGGCUGGAAACUAAAAGGAGUGGAUCAUAAAUUAGAACAGGUGAAGGAAUAUAGACUUCGACUCCUCUCUUUAAGAUUCUAAGUUCAAGGUGUGAGGUAAGGACAUAAAUUUCUAAAACAAGACACAAAGCCUUUGGAUUUUAUAUAUGAAGUUUUAAUUAAGAACAAAUGAAAAUUUAUUUAGAUUUGAGUUCACAUCCAAGAAACAGUCAACUUAAAGAUUAGAAAUAUAAGUGGAAAUAGUCUACUUUUGGGGUUAUGGAUGGAUCAGACAAGCCUGAAGAAGAGUAACCUUGUGAAGUUACCAAACCAUGUAUUUUCAAGUAUUUAUCAACUUUAUUCUUGGCUUAUUAUGUAUACAGAAGUUAGCCAAUUCUAGCAAAGUCAGCAGAAUUUGAGUAAACUUGAGUUUUACACCAUGGCUGUCAGGUCUGAAAGCUUAGAUUUGAUUAUAACCUGGUAAAUGUGAUUAACUUUAUUUCCUGCAAAUGUAAUCAAUUUAAAAAAAUAGGUAAACAUCAAUUUUACAUACACCAUAUGAAAGGUAGGAGGAAAUUGGAAUUGUUCAUCUAAUUGCAGAAUCUAAACCAUAAAUUCAAAUUGCAUUGUUAUCUCUACUAUCAAAUCAAGCCAAGAAAGUUUAUUACAGACUAAGGGAAAUGAAUGGGAUUAUGCAGGGUCCACUGAGGAGACAUUUUGAAGACAAAUUAAUACUUAAUGCUGUACAGCAAUUAUUUUCAAGUAUGCUCCAAGAGUCACCUUUUAUGGAAGAAUUAGCUGUCAGAAAUCAGGCGACAAGUAUUAACACCUACAUUUUGUAGAAAAUGAAGGCAAAGGAUGAGUCAGAUACAGGGGUCCUCAAAUUGUGGCCCACAGGGGGUCACAUGAGGCGGUGUGAUUGUAUUUGUUCCCAUUUUGUUUUUUUACUUCAAAAUAAGAUAUGUGCAAUGUGCAUAGGAAUUUGUUCAUAGUUUUUUUUUUUACACUAUAGUCCGGCCCUCCAACGGUCUGAGGGACAGUGAAUUGGCCCUGUUUAAAAAGUUUGAGGAUGCCUGAAAGUAAAUUAGACUUUGGCUUUAUUUGAAAUAGGAUUCAUGUGCUCUGAAUCUUUCUAUUGGGUUAUAGCUAUUAAUCUACAUUUCCACUUACAACACAAUCCAUUUUAAAAAGUUACCUUCAUUUUGUGUCCAAUCUCUUAAUGCAUUGGAUUAGUAUAUAGGUGGAUUCUUGCGGCACCGCUCAUUUCUAGGAGGCCAUUAAUAAAAACUUUUUUUCUUUCCUUAGAAAUAAAAAUGAAUGUAAAACUGAUUGUUAAAAACAGUAAAGAUUAUUUUCUCCUAAAGUAGAAACAAUAGUUUGCUUGACUAAAAAUCUAUUCAUUUGGGCAUUAAGUUACCUAACAUUACACAGACUAUUUUACAUUAGACAUUGUUUUGUAUUGUCUCCAAAAAAUGUCUUAUAAUUACGUAAGUCUAAUUUCCUGUGAAAUUUACUCUACUAAAAUCAAUAUAUAAGCUGUUCAUUGUUCUGAUAUAGUUAAAAUGACAAAUAUUUUAUUUUUUU